rnacentral:rRNA from 1 species
AACGAACGCUGGCGGCAUGCCUAACACAUGCAAGUCGAACGAGACCUUCGGGUCUAGUGGCGCACGGGUGCGUAACGCGUGGGAACCUGCCCUUAGGUUCGGAAUAACUCCCCGAAAGGGGUGCUAAUACCGGAUAAUGUCUUCGGACCAAAGAUUUAUCGCCUUUGGAUGGGCCCGCGUUGGAUUAGCUAGUUGGUAGGGUAAAAGCCUACCAAGGCGACGAUCCAUAGCUGGUCUGAGAGGAUGAUCAGCCACACUGGGACUGAGACACGGCCCAGACCCCUACGGGGGGCAGCAGGGGGGAAUAUUGGAAAAUGGGCGAAAGCCUGAUCCAGCAAUGCCGGGGGAGUGAGGAAGGCCUUAGGUUUGUAAAGCUUUUUUCCCCGGGAUGAAAAUGACAGUCCCGGGAAAAUAAGCCCCGGCUAACUCCGU